rnacentral:rRNA from 1 species
AGAGUUUGAUCCUGGCUCAGAAUGAACGCUGGCGGCGUGCCUAACACAUGCAAGUCGGAUGUGCCCGCAAGGGUGCAUGGCAGACGGGUGAGUAACGCGUGGGGAAUCUACCUCUUUGUGGGGAAUAACGCUCCGAAAGGAGUGGUAAUACCGCAUGAGAUCCAUGGCUGGAAUGUUGUGGAUGAAACCUGGGGACCUUCGGGCCUGGGGCAAGGAGAGGAUCCUGCGUCUGAUUAGCUAGUUGGUGAGGUAACGGCCCACCAAGGCAACGAUCAGUAGCCGGCCUGAGAGGGUGAUCGGCCACACUGGAACUGAGACACGGUCCAGACUCCUACGGGAGGCAGCAGUGGGGAAUUUUGCGCAAUGGGCGAAAGCCUGACGCAGCAACGCCGCGUGGGUGAUGAAGGUCUUCGGAU